rnacentral:rRNA from 1 species
UGAUACGGAGGGUGCAAGCGUUAAUCGGAAUUACUGGGCGUAAAGCGCACGCAGGCGGUUUGUUAAGUCAGAUGUGAAAUCCCCGCGCUUAACGUGGGAACUGCAUUUGAAACUGGCAAGCUAGAGUCUUGUAGAGGGGGGUAGAAUUCCAGGUGUAGCGGUGAAAUGCGUAGAGAUCUGGAGGAAUACCGGUGGCGAAGGCGGCCCCCUGGACAAAGACUGACGUUCAGGUGCGAAAGCGUGGGGAGCAAACAGGAUUAGAUACCCUGGUAGUCCACGCUGUAAACGAUGUCGACUUGGAGGUUGUGCCCUUGAGGCGUGGCUUCCGGAGCUAACGCGUUAAGUCGACCGCCUGGGGAGUACGGCCGCAAGGUUAAAACUCAAAUGAAUUGACGGGGGCCCGCACAAGCGGUGGAGCAUGUGGUUUAAUUCGAUGCAACGCGAAGAACCUUACCUACUCUUGACACCCACGGAAUUCGCCAGAGAUGGCUUAGUGCCUUCGGGAACCGUGAGACAGGUGCUGCAUGGCUGUCGUCAGCUCGUGUUGUGAAAUGUUGGGUUAAGUCCCGCAACGAGCGCAACCCUUAUCCUUUGUUGCCAGCACGUAAUGGUGGGAACUCAAAGGAGACUGCCGGUGAUAAACCGGAGGAAGGUGGGGAUGACGUCAAGUCAUCAUGGCCCUUACGAGUAGGGCUACACACGUGCUACAAUGGCAUAUACAAAGAGAAGCGAACUCGCGAGAGCAAGCGGACCUCAUAAAGUAUGUCGUAGUCCGGAUUGGAGUCUGCAACUCGACUCCAUGAAGUCGGAAUCGCUAGUAAUCGUAGAUCAGAAUGCUACGGUGAAUACGUUCCCGGGCCUUGUACACACCGCCCGUCACACCAUGGGAGUGGGUUGCAAAAGAAGUAGGUAGCUUAACCUUCGGGAGGGCGCUUACCACUUUGUGAUUCAUG